GACGAACGCUGGCGGCGUGCCUAAUACAUGCAAGUCGAGCGGACAGAAGGGAGCUUGCUCCCGGAAGUUAGCGGCGGACGGGUGAGUAACACGUGGGCAACCUACCCUGUAGAUCGGGAUAACAUCGAGAAAUCGGUGCUAAUACCGGAUAAUCAUUUGAAGUGCAUGCUUCGAAUGUAAAAGAUGGCUCCGGCUAUCACUACGGGAUGGGCCCGCGGCGCAUUAGCUAGUUGGUAAGGUAAUGGCUUACCAAGGCAACGAUGCGUAGCCGACCUGAGAGGGUGAUCGGCCACACUGGGACUGAGACACGGCCCAGACCCCUACGGGAGGCAGCAGUAGGGAAUCUUCCGCAAUGGACGAAAGUCUGACGGAGCAACGCCGCGUGAGUGAUGAAGGUUUUCGGAUCGUAAAGCUCUGUUGUUAGGGAAGAACAAGUGCCGUUUGAAUAAGGCGGCACCUUGACGGUACCUAACCAGAGAGCCACGGCUAACUACGUGCCAGCCGCCGCCGUAAAAC
rnacentral:rRNA from 1 species